rnacentral:piRNA from 1 species
CCUGUGUUCAAUAGAGCCGCUCAGGUCC